rnacentral:rRNA from 1 species
GCAGCCGCCACGGGAAUACGUAGGUGGCAAGCGUUGUCCGGAAUUAUUGGGCGUAAAGGGCUCGCAGGCGGUUUCUUAAGUCUGAUGUGAAAGCCCCCGGCUCAACCGGGGAGGGUCAUUGGAAACUGGGAAACUUGAGUGCAGAAGAGGAGAGUGGAAUUCCACGUGUAGCGGUGAAAUGCGUAGAGAUGUGGAGGAACACCAGUGGCGAAGGCGACUCUCUGGUCUGUAACUGACGCUGAGGAGCGAAAGCGUGGGGAGCGAACAGGAUUAGAUACCCCGGUAGUCCCUGUCUCUUAUAC